ACAGAAUGAGAGCGCUCAGCCAAACCAUAAUCAACAGACAUUGUUACUUUCCACAACACACUUCCAGCCAGCCCAGUCAUCCAGUCAGACUGUGUGCCCAGCUAGGGUUUAGGGUUGAGUGGCGUAUCUCAACUCAACCUGGCGGCUGUGUUGUGAUGGGACUCAGAGGGAGUGAUGGAACCUGUUCUGUGGUUGGGUGGUUGAAGGGGUGGGGGCGAGGCUAUGUGUACCUGUCAGAGACGUGUCAAGGUGGGAAAGCUGAGCUCACCUGGAUAGUGAAGUCUGCCGUUCCAACAGCCUGGUCAGGCCUCACCCUGAGUCGCUCAUUAAGAUAACAUGAUUGAGGUAGUGCUGUUUAAGGCCUCACCCUGCUUCGCUCAUUAAGAUAACAUGAUUGAGGUAGUGCUGUUUAAGGCCUCACCCUGCUUCGCUCAUUAAGAUAACAUGAUUGAGGUAGUGCUGUUUAAGGCCUCACCCUGCUUCGCUCAUUAAGAUAACAUGAUUGAGGUAGUGCUGUUUAAGGCCUCACCCUGCUUCGCUCAUUAAGAUAACAUGAUUGAGGUAGUGCUGUUUAAGGCCUCACCAUGCGUCGCUCAUUAAGAUAACAUGAUUGAGGUAGUGCUGUUUAAGGCCUCACCCUGCUUCGCUCAUUAAGAUAACAUGAUUGAGGUAGUGCUGUUUAAGGCCUCACCCUGCUUCGCUCAUUAAGAUAACAUGAUUGAGGUAGUGCUGUUUCAGGCCUCACCCUGCGUCGCUCAUUAAGAUAACAUGACUGAGGUAGUGCUGUUUAAGGCCUCACCCUGCGUCGCUCAUUAAGAUAACAUGAUUGAGGUAGUGCUGUUUAAGGCCUCACCCUGCUUCGCUCAUUAAGAUAACAUGAUUGAGGUAGUGCUGUUUAAGGCCUCACCAUGCGUCGCUCAUUAAGAUAACAUGAUUGAGGUAGUGCUGUUUCAGGCCUCACCUGCUUCACUCAUUAAGAUAACAUGAUUGAGGUAGUGUUGUUUAAGGCCUCACCAUGCUCUCUCUGAUCAUUAGACUAAUAUCAUUGAGGUACUGUGUUUUGUCUAACAUGGAGGGGAUAGCUUUAGACUCUGAAGG